AGAGAGGAUGCACACUCUGAAGAGGGCAGGCAGCUUCUGCACCGAGGGAGCAAAGGGGCGUGUCAGGGGCAGCUGCUGGAAGGAGGCGCAAGCACCACGGAGAGUCUGGGAUGCCCAGCCAAGGAGCCCUGGAAGGGUUGCCCUGGGGACUGACACUGUGGGCUCUGUGUUUUAGCCAAGUCACCCAGGCAGCUGAACAGAAGAUGGACUGGAGGGAGAAGCCUGGAUGUAGGAUCGCUCAGCAACAAAGGAGCCAGAAAAGGCAAGGUGUACACACCGUGUGCAGCAUGGGCGAGCUGCAGGCAUGCAGGUAAGAGUGUGUGCAUGCAGGUGUGUGCACACGAGUUUGCAUGUGCUGAUGCAGAUGGCUAUGAUGCGUGGUGGUGAUAUAUACAUGUGGAUGCUUAUGGAUCUGUGCCAACCAUUAUUAAGCACAUAUGUAUACCCGUGUGUGUAUAUGCAUGCAUGUGUUUGUGUGAGUUGCAAUGUGUAUACAACUUUACACAAUAAGUGAAUUGAGUACAUGUACCUGUUUAUCCACGGAAGUGUAUGAUGACUGGACAUAUGUAAAUAUGUGUAUUUGCAUGUGUUUAUACUUUGUGCAUAGAUGCAUGUUUGUGUAUUUAUGCUGAUCCAUUUAAGCGUAUGGGAUGUGUGUGGAUGUUUGUGUAACAUCUGUACAUACUCCAUAGGUGCAUCUUAAUACAGGAAUAUGGGUGCGAUGUGUAUGUGUGUGUGUGUGCCUGUGUGAACAGGUGCGGCUGGAGGUCUAUGAGUGUGUGGAUAGGUAUAUUUGCCUGUGCGCAUGUGCGAUUCACGUGGUGUGAGUGCACAUGGUCGCAGGCAAAUGUCUGUGUGGGCACACACAUGCCCUGUUGCCCUUUUCUGUCUUUUCCUGUUGGGAAAUUACAGAACUUCUGAGUCCUAACCAUGGCUGGUGGCUCUUCCAGGAACAUGGUUUCCUGGACCCAAAAGGUAAGCUUGUCAGGGACCCACGUGAAUGAGGAAGUGGGUGGGCCUGAGUCUGGGGCUCCUCUGAGAACUGCUGUGGACCAGGGAAAUCUUGCUGCCACCUCUGGUCUUUAGUCCACCUCUCAGUAGUAGCUUUCAAAGCUUGAUUUUUUUGGAGGCGUCUCCACGGAGCAUAGUCCUAAGCUCCUAGCCUACAUUGUCCCUGUUCCUGGGCCUGUUUGGUUGACAUUCUCUUACAGUUUAAAAAAGACAUCCACAUCCGUACUCUUAGCUAAUCCUUGUGACCUUUCUUCUAGUCUGUUUGGAGAGGCUGGGAGCAGAGUGGUUAAAAGAGCCAGGCCUGGUUCCAUUUCUGACCCCUCUUCUAGCUGAGCAACUUCCGCCUCUUCCAGCCUCCCUCACGGGAAUCACAGAUCACGUGAGAUGACACCCAUGAAGGGCUUGACUGGCAUCUGGCACAUGGUGAGGACUGCAAAAAUGUGGGCUAUUGUUUUUACUAUUAUCCCCAUUUUAUAGAUGAGGAAACUGAGGCUUGGAGAGGCUCUCUGCCUUUGUCAACCUGGAGAUGCUGGGAAGGAAGUGAGGCCCAUCCCACCUCAGAUGCCUGUCCUCUGUCGUCAGGAGCAUUCUCUUGUUCUUCCGGGCUUGGCCAAGCGGUGGUAAACCCCACAUGUGGUUCUGUGGUUGCCCACACAGUCCUAAAAAUAGCCAACAGGAACCCAGGGGCUCCCCCUUGGUGAGUGGCAGCAGGCCCAGUCCUCAGGCAGCCACCAACCUGCUCACUCCCCACAGGCAAGCAGGUCCUGUCUAGGAAGGGGCUGGGUGGCCUGGGUCCCAUGCAUGAUGAGCCAGAGGCUGUGCCAAGCUUAUAGCAAAUAUUAUUUUAUUUCAUUAUGUUUUCUUACAUCUGUGAUGUGGAGGCCAUAGCUCCACUGGACUCAUGAGGAGACUGAGGCUCAGAGCAAUGAAGUGACCUGCUCAAAGUUAAGGAGCUUCAGUUUGGACCCAAUUUGUUCUGAUCCUAAGGUCACUAUCCUUAAUCCCUCUCCCUGUGGGGUCUUCCCUAUCUUGAGCCUGUGGACAGCUGUGCAGUGGCAAGAAAAAGGCCUUCAGAGCUACGCAGACCUGGCUUCAAAUCCCAGCCUCCCUGAUGAGCCCUGGUGGUCUUGCAUGCUUGCCCUUGGGACUCAGACACCAUAUUGUGAGGAAGCCCAAGCUACAUGCAGAGGCCACUAUAGUUGUUCUGGCCAACAGCCCAAGCUUCAGCUGCCAGACAUAUAAAUAAACCAACUCUUCAAAUGA
rnacentral:lncRNA from 1 species